GAUGAACGCUGGCGGCGUGCCUAAUACAUGCCAGUCGAGCGAACGGACGAGAAGCUUGCUUCUCUGAUGUUAGCGGCGGACGGGUGAGUAACACGUGGAUAACCUACCUAUAAGACUGGGAUAACUUCGGGAAACCGGAGCUAAUACCGGAUAAUAUUUUGAACCGCAUGGUUCAAAAGUGAAAGACGGUCUUGCUGUCACUUAUAGAUGGAUCCGCGCUGCAUUAGCUAGUUGGUAAGGUAACGGCUUACCAAGGCAACGAUGCAUAGCCGACCUGAGAGGGUGAUCGGCCACACUGGAACUGAGACACGGUCCAGACCCCUACGGGAGGCAGCAGUAGGACAGCUUCCGCCAUGGGCGAAAGCCUGACGGGGCAACGCCGCGUGAGUGAUGAAGGGCUUCGGAUCGUAAAACUCUGUGAUUAGGGAAGAACAUAUGUGUAAGUAACUGGGCACAUCUUGACGGUACCUAAUCAGAAAGCCACGGCUAACUGCGUG
rnacentral:rRNA from 1 species